UAGACAGGAGGAGAGAUCAUCAGAGGUAUGUUAGCCCAUAGAUGUAUAACCCUAGAUAGGAGGAGAGAUCAUCAGAUGUAUGUUAGCCCAUAGAUAUAGAACCCUAGACAGGAGGAGAGAUCAUCAGAGGUAUGUUAGCCCAUAGAUAUAGAACCCUAGACAGGAGGAGAGAUCACCAGAGGUAUUAUAGCCAUAGAUGUAUAACCCUAGACAGGAGGAGAGAUCAUCAGAGGUAUGUUAGCCCAUAGAUGUAUAACCCUAGAUAGGAGGAGAGAUCAUCAGAGGUAUUAUAGCCAUAGAUGUAUAACCCUAGACAGGAGGAGAGAUCAUCAGAGGUAUUAUAGCCCAUAGAUGUAUAACCCUAGACAGGAGGAGAGAUCAUCAGAGGUAUGUUAGCCCAUAGAUGUAUAACCCUAGACAGGAGGAGAGAUCAUCAGAGGUAUUAUAGCCAUAGAUGUAUAACCCUAGACAGGAGGAGAGAUCAUCAGAGGUAUUAUAGCCCAUAGAUGUAUAACCCUAGACAGGAGGAGAGAUCAUCAGAGGUAUUAUAGCCAUAGAUGUAUAACCCUAGACAGGAGGAGAGAUCAUCAGAUGUAUUAUAGCCAUAGAUAUAGAACCCUAGACAGGAGGAGAGAUCAUCAGAGGUAUUAUAGCCAUAGAUGUAUAACCCUAGACAGGAGGAGAGAUCAUCAGAGGUAUUAUAGCCAUAGAUAUAGAACCCUAGACAGGAGGAGAGAUCAUCAGAGGUAUGUUAGCCAUAGAUGUAUAACCCUAGACAGGAGGAGAGAUCAUCAGAGGUAUGUUAGCCCAUAGAUAUAGAACCCUAGACAGGAGGAGAGAUCAUCAGAGGUAUGUUAGCCCAUAGAUAUAGAACCCUAGACAGGAGGAGAGAUCAUCAGAGGUAUUAUAGCCAUAGAUGUAUAACCCUAGAUAGGAGGAGAGAUCAUCAGAGGUAUGUUAGCCCAUAGAUAUAGAACCCUAGACAGGAGGAGAGAUCAUCAGAGGUAUGUUAGCCCAUAGAUAUAGAACCCUAGACAGGAGGAGAGAUCAUCAGAGGUAUGUUAGCCCAUAGAUAUAGAACCCUAGACAGGAGGAGAGAUCAUCAGAGGUAUGUUAGCCCAUAGAUGUAUAACCCUAGACAGGAGGAGAGAUCAUCAGAGGUAUGUUAGCCCAUAGAUGUAUAACCCUAGACAGGAGGAGAGAUCAUCAGAGGUAUGUUAGCCCAUAGAUAUAGAACCCUAGACAGGAGGAGAGAUCAUCAGAGGUAUGUUAGCCCAUAGAUGUAUAACCCUAGACAGGAGGAGAGAUCAUCAGAGGUAUUAUAGCCAUAGAUGUAUAACCCUAGACAGGAGGAGAGAUCAUCAGAGGUAUGUUAGCCCAUAGAUGUAUAACCCUAGACAGGAGGAGAGAUCAUCAGAGGUAUGUUAGCCCAUAGAUAUAGAACCCUAGACAGGAGGAGAGAUCAUCAGAGGUAUGUUAGCCCAUAGAUAUAGAACCCUAGACAGGAGGAGAGAUCAUCAGAGGUAUUAUAGCCAUAGAUGUAUAACCCUAGACAGGAGGAGAGAUCAUCAGAGGUAUUAUAGCCAUAGAUGUAUAACCCUAGACAGGAGGAGAGAUCAUCAGAGGUAUGUUAGCCCAUAGAUGUAUAACCCUAGACAGGAGGAGAGAUCAUCAGAGGUAUGUUAGCCCAUAGAUGUAUAACCCUAGACAGGAGGAGAGAUCAUCAGAGGUAUGUUAGCCCAUAGAUAUAGAACCCUAGACAGGAGGAGAGAUCAUCAGAGGUAUGUUAGCCCAUAGAUAUAGAACCCUAGACAGGAGGAGAGAUCAUCAGAGGUAUUAUAGCCAUAGAUGUAUAACCCUAGACAGGAGGAGAGAUCAUCAGAGGUAUGUUAGCCCAUAGAUGUAUAACCCUAGACAGGAGGAGAGAUCAUCAGAGGUAUGUUAGCCCAUAGAUAUAUAACCCUAGACAGGAGGAGAGAUCAUCAGAGGUAUGUUAGCCCAUAGAUAUAGAACCCUAGACAGGAGGAGAGAUCAUCAGAGGUAUGUUAGCCCAUAGAUGUAUAACCCUAGAUAGGAGGAGAGAUCAUCAGAGGUAUGUUAGCCCAUAGAUGUAUAACCCUAGACAGGAGGAGAGAUCAUCAGAGGUAUGUUAGCCCAUAGAUGUAUAACCCUAGAUAGGAGGAGAGAUCAUCAGAGGUAUGUUAGCCCAUAGAUAUAGAACCCUAGACAGGAGGAGAGAUCAUCAGAGGUAUGUUAGCCCAUAGAUGUAUAACCCUAGACAGGAGGAGAGAUCAUCAGAGGUAUUAUAGCCAUAGAUGUAUAACCCUAGAUAGGAGGAGAGAUCAUCAGAGGUAUGUUAGCCCAUAGAUAUAGAACCCUAGACAGGAGGAGAGAUCAUCAGAGGUAUGUUAGCCCAUAGAUGUAUAACCCUAGACAGGAGGAGAGAUCAUCAGAGGUAUGUUAGCCCAUUGAUAUAUAACCCUAGACAGGAGGAGAGAUCAUCAGAGGUAUUAUAGCCAUAGAUAUAUAACCCUAGAUAGGCUGAUGUCAUGUAGUCCCUAUACAUCAGAAUGGAACAGUUGGUCAGCCAUUUUAGCUGGGGCCUGUCCUGAUAUAUGGUCUGUGGUUAUAGCUAGUGUAGUAUUGUAUUGUUCUCAUGACAUCAUGAGGUGUUCUAUGGUUGUGUAAUGAAGGAGGGUCGGUGAACUGCUGUGCUGACGUGAUGAGUAACUAAGCUUGCCUGUGAGCUGAAGACUUGUUAGCUUCCUCAAGCUAAUGCCUGUAGGCUUUAGUUCAGCUCGCUAACACAGUCCUGUGAUGUGUCGGAGACUCCGGUCCGAACCCAGAUGGUCCAACCCUCACAGGACAGAAACACUAGGGUUGUUACUCCACAGUGAUGUCAUGACAUGAGGAAGAAGCCAGAAGAACACCCCGGACCCUAGACCGUCUACUCUACACAGACUCUACAUAUUCAAAUAGUUCCUCAGUCCUCAUUAAAAUAAUGGCAAAUUCCAAAUGGGAAUAUGGGGGUAGGCUGGGGAUUCAAUCAGGCAGUAGGAAUUGGUUUAGGCUGCAGAGCCCACAUGGUGCACUGGAUAAUGCCUGGUGGGAUAAAGUGUGUGUGCAGCAGCUGAUGUCACGUGUCUGGGGGUAAUGAGAAGUGACAUGCGUC